GGCGUGCGGACGGCGAGCGGAGGCGAUUGGCCGCGCGGGAGGCGCACGGACGCGGGCGGCCGGCGGAGGCGAGCGGAGGCGGGUAGAUGCGGGUGGCCGGCAGAGGUGCGCACGUACAUGGGCAGUAGCUUUCUGGUGAGGCGAGCGGUGGCGGCUAGCGUGAGCGGAGAGAGAGGGGCGUGGGCAGAGAGAUGGGGGAGAGGAUAAGAUGGGUGAGGCGAGGGAUGGGC
rnacentral:rRNA from 1 species